ensembl:Y_RNA Y_RNA Y RNA
GGCUAGUUCGAAGGUAGUUGUGACUUCUGUCAGUUUUUCAUAGUUACAGAUCAAACUCCUUCUGCUCUUUCCCUCCUUCUCACUGCUGCUGUUGACUAGUUUAAA